rnacentral:lncRNA from 1 species
GUUAGAAUAAUUUCAAAAUAUGGGCUUACACUGAUUGCGUAUUUUUGUUUUAUAAAAUGGGUUAGACGUAUGGCUCAGAAUGGUACUAUGAUUAAGCCCAAUAUGAUGUGUGAUCAUUUUGUUUUAUGGGCUUUAGUGCACCUUGGAUGUAUAGGAUUGAGUCCUAUUUAUUGUGGUACUUUUGGUAUGUAGGCCAGGAAACCCAAUUAGGGUUUUGGAGCCUUUAAUGGGAAGGCUCCUCUAUGUUUCCUAUAUAU